GUGGGGAAUAUUGGACAAUGGCCGAGAGGCUGAUCCAGCCAUGCCGCGUGCGGGAAGACGGCCCUAUGGGUUGUAAACCGCUUUUGUUGGGGAGCAAUAAGGUCCACGUGUGGAUCGAUGAGAGUACCCAGCGAAUAAGCAUCGGCUAACUCCGUGCCAGCAGCCGCGGUAAUACGGAGGAUGCAAGCGUUAUCCGGAUUUAUUGGGUUUAAAGGGUGCGUAGGCGGAUGCCUAAGCGUGAGGUGAAAUCCCCGGGCUCAACCUGGGAACUGCCUCGCGAACUGGGUGUCUGGAAUGCCCCUGCCGUGGGAGGAAUGUGUGGUGUAGCGGUGAAAUGCAUAGAGAUCACACAGAACACCGAUUGCGAAGGCAUCUCACGAAGGGGUGAUUGACGCUGAGGCACGAAAGCGUGGGGAUCAAACAGG
rnacentral:rRNA from 1 species